GACGAACGCUGGCGGCGUGCUUAACACAUGCAAGUCGAACGGAAAGGCCCUGCUUUUGUGGGGUGCUCGAGUGGCGAACGGGUGAGUAACACGUGAGUAACCUGCCCUUGACUUUGGGAUAACUUCAGGAAACUGGGGCUAAUACCGGAUAGGAGCUCCUGCUGCAUGGUGGGGGUUGGAAAGUUUCGGCGGUUGGGGAUGGACUCGCGGCUUAUCAGCUUGUUGGUGGGGUAGUGGCUUACCAAGGCUUUGACGGGUAGCCGGCCUGGGAGGGUGACCGGCCACAAUGGGACUGAGAUACGGCCCAGACUCCUACGGGAGGCAGCAGUGGGGAAUAUUGCACAAUGGGCGGAAGCCUGAUGCAGCAACGCCGCGUGCGGGAAGACGGCCUUCGGGUUGUAAACCGCUUUCGCCUGUGACGAAGCGUGAGUGACGGUAAUGGGUAAAGAAGCACCGGCUAACUACGUG
rnacentral:rRNA from 1 species